rnacentral:ncRNA from 26 species
AAGAUACGUGUUUGUGGUUGAAAGUCGAUGCCAGUCGCAGGCAAAGCGAUCCACGUAAGGAAUUUUAGAAAAUUCUGAUCAUAGUGCGGCCUAGAAGUAAGUCCUGCCGUAUAAAACGAGAGAGUGAGUAGUGGGGGAUGAACAUCUAAGAGCGAAAGUUCCAGCAGGCGAGUGUGGGGGUAAAGACCAGGUCAAGCGUAUUGG